rnacentral:rRNA from 1 species
CCUACGGGCGGCUGCAGUAGGGAAUAUUGGGCAAUGGGCGCAAGCCUGACCCAGCAACGCCGCGUGAAGGAAGAAGGCUUUCGGGUUGUAAACUUCUUUUGACAGGGAAGAGCAGAAGACGGUACCUGUCGAAUAAGCCACGGCUAACUACGUGCCCGCAGCCGCGGUAAUACGGAGGUGGCAAGCGUUGUCCGGUGUUACUGGGUGUAAAGGGCGUGUAGCCGGGCUGACAAGUCAGAUGUGAAAUCCGGGGGCUUAACCCCCGAACUGCAUUUGAAACUGUUAGUCUUGAGUAUGGGAGAGGCAGGUGGAAUUCCUGGUGGAGCGGUGAAAUGCGUAGAGAUUAAGAGGAACACCAGUGGCGAAGGCGGCCUGCUGGACGACAACUGACGGUGAGGCGCGAAAGCGUGGGGAUCGAACAGGAUUAGAUACCCCAGUAGUC